rnacentral:lncRNA from 1 species
AGUUACCUUGCCCAAUGGCUAUAAGGUUAAGGUAACAUGCACUGGUUCCAUCCAAUUCCUUUGUUUCACUCUUCAUCAUGUCCUUUACAUUCCCAGUUUUCACUACAAUCUCAUUUCUGUGUCCAAACUUGUAUGUCAGUUGAAUUCUAUUGUUCUAUUUACUAAAUUCUCUUGUUUAAUACAUGCCCCUUCUCUGAAGAGGCCACUGGAGAUUGGUAAAUUGGACGAUGGUCUCUACAGGCUUGUGAAAUCUUCUUCCCUUAUAACUCUUGAUCCUUGUAAACAACAUGCUCCAUUACCUGUUAAUUCUGUUUCUUAUUCUCAUUGUACAUACCAUUCUGAAUUGAAUAAAAUGGAGAUGUUAUGGCACAAUAGACUAGGGCAUAUACCUUUUCUUAGAAUGAAAGACAUGCCUUUUAUACCAUGUAGUUUUUCCACAAAGCAGCCUUUUCGCUGUACUAUAUGCCUUUUGGCAUGGCAAUCUAGAUUACCCUUUCCUGACAGCUCCAUUAAAACAACUCAUGCUUUUCAACUGAUUCAUGUUGAUACAUGGGGUCCCUAUGCCACUUCUACUCAUAAUGGUUGUAGAUAUUUUUUGACAAUAGUUGAUGAUUUUAUCAGAGCUACUUGAACCCAUCUUAUGGGGUCCAAGAGCAAUGCCUUUCCUCUCAUUAAAGCCUUCAUUUAGAGCUACUUGGACCCAUCUUAUGGGGUCCAAGAGCAAUGCCUUUCCUCUCAUUAAAGCCUUCAUUUCCAUGGUUAAAACUCAAUUCCAGUAUGUGGUACAAACCAUUAUGAGUGAUAAUGCAUUUUGAACUAGGUUCUAGUGGCUGUGGCAGCACCUUCUUUGCUGAACAUGGCAUACUGCAUCAAACUUCUUGCUCUCACACACCACAACAAAAUGGUGUUGUUGAGAGAAAGCAUAGAUAUCUGCUAGAAACCUCCAGAGCUCUUCUCUUUCAUUCUCACUUACCCAUUAGAUUUUGGGGUGACUAUGUGCGUACUGCCACAUACCUGAUUAACAGAUUUCCUUCCAAACUACUCAACAACAAAUCCCCUUUUGAAUUGCUGUUUGGCCAGAUUCCUUCCUACAAGCACCUUAAAACAUUUGGUUGCUCAUGUUUUGCCUCUGUCCCUAAACAGAAUAGAGAUAAAUUCCAGCCUAGAGUUGAGCACCUUAAAACAUUCGGUUGCUUAUGUUCUGCCUCUGUCCCUAAACAGAAUAGAGAUAUAUUCCAACCCAGAGCUGAUCCCUAUGUUUUCCUGGCUUACCCUUUGGCUAAAAAGGGUUACAAGCUGUAUAACUUGAAGUCUAAGAUCACCCUGAUAUCCAGGGAUGUCAUUUUUCAUGAGGAUGUAUUUCCUUUUGCCUCUCCAAGGACUUCUUCCCAUGCCUCUUUUCCUCUUGUCAAUCCUCCUUCUGCCUGGGUUCCUCCUGUUGAUGACUCUCCGAAUAAUCUCUCUUUUCCUCCUGUCAAUCCUCCUUCUACCUGGGUUCCUCCUAUUGAUGACUCUCUUCCUAAUCCUUCCUAUUCUUCCACUUAUCAACCUCUUGCCUCCUCCUCUUCCCCACCUUCCUCUCCAUCACCUACUUCUUCAGUGCCUUCUUCAUCUGCUCCCAGAAGAUCCGCUAGGGCGCAUGUCCUUCUUGCCCACCUGCAGAAGUAUAUCUGCACUCUCCCUCCUUCUUUUUCUGGUCCCGGUGCUUCUUCCACCUGUCUUCACACCUUGGUUAGCUGUCCAGAAGCAGAACCUACCACCUAUCAGCAAGCUGCUUCUAUUCCUGCCUAGCAUGAGGCUAUGUGCAAGGAAUUUGCAGCUUUGGAGGCCAAUCAUACCUGGUCAAUAGUUCCCCUUCCCCCUGGUAAAAGACCUAUUGGUUGCAAGUGGGUGUAUAAGAUCAAAUAUAGGGCUGAUGGGUCUGUGGAAAGACAUAA